rnacentral:lncRNA from 1 species
AAAGUUCAUUGUAUUUCUUAAUACACUAGAAAGGGGAAAUAAAGUACACAAGUCCAAGUCUAAAACUUUAGUACUUUUCCACGCAGAUUUGUGCACAUGUGAGAGGGUAUCCAGUUUGUCUAGUGAUUGUUAUUUAGAGAGUUGAACCACUAUUGUGUGUUGCUAAUCAUUGACUGUGGUCCCAAAAAAGCCUUGUGAAGAUGUUAUGCCCUAUGUAACAGCAGAGUAACAUAAAAUAAAAUUACAUUUUAUAAACCAUUUACUAUGGCUUUGUAACAAUUGCAUACCCAUAUUUUAAGGGACAGGUGAAUUUACUGCUUUCUAAAGUUUAUUGAUACUUCCCUUUUAUGUAAAAUGUAGUAGUGAUACCUAUAUUUCUGCAUUGUGCAUUGUGACACACUUGUCUAGGGAUGCCUGGAAAUGUAUAAAAUUGGACUGCAUUUCUUAGAGUGUUUUACUAUAGAUCAGUCUCAUGGGCCAUCUCUUCCUCAGAUGUAAAUGAUAUCUGGUUAAGUGUUAUAUGGAAUAAAGUGGACAUUUUAAAACUAAGAAAAAAAAA